rnacentral:tRNA from 2 species
GGGGAUGUAGCUUAGCUGGAAGAGCGCUGCCUUUGCACGGCAGAGGUCAGGGGUUCGAAUCCCCUCAUCUCCACCA